AGAGCACAAUAAAGGCUGGUUACCCAAGUGCAACUGCGGGGGAUAAGGAGCUGUCACCCUAACAAUCAGACGCAGAGAAGCAAACUGCAAGAAGCAAUCCCUUCCCUCUUCCCGUUUUGCAGGCUUCCUCUAGCACCCCCUACUGGCAGAGCCUUGCUGAGGCGCCACCUGGCCAAGAGACUGCGCGAGGCCCCCAGCCCAGCAGCGUCGGAAAGGAAUACACGUUUCCAUAUUGAGCUAUUACAGACAGUGCUGCUGCCCUGGGGUUUGUCUCUUGUCCACAAAUCUGACCUGUUAAAGCCCUGGCCUUCGGAACCCACAGCCUGCAGAUAUUGCCAAGGAGCUGUCCGUGGACACCACCACGUUUCCUGAGAAGAUGAGAAACGGGAUGCUGGGGGGCAGCAGUGGCGAGGAAGCCAUGGUGGUGCCUGAGGCAGCCGCAGCCUGCCAGGGGAGCAGCCCCACCUUCAUCGUCCAGGAGAGCUCACUGUGAUGCAGACGCGGGGCCCAGGCCUCUGUCCACAUGCUGCCAGGCCUGCCCCCUCACCCCAAGCCCUUUGUCCCUGGAUGACCUGGGCCUGGUCACUGUGUCUGUCCUAGGCAGGGGGUUAGAGCUGUCACUCACAGGGUCGUGGGGGUGAGGUAGGAACAUUCCUUGACCAUCACCAACCUAUUCUACAGCAGAGACUGUAAAAUUUUUGGCCUCAGAACCACUUUACAUUCUUAAAAAAGUAGAACUUUGAAGAGUUUUUGCUUAUGUGGAUUAUUUCUAUUGAUAUUUAACAUAUUAGAAAUUAAAAUAAAUUAGAAACUAAAAUUAAAACAUAUUAGAAAUUAAAGUAGGAUUUUAAAAAUAUUUAUUUCAAAUAAGAUUAAUUAACCCAUUAUAUGUGAAUGUAUGUUAUGUUUAUAUGAAAAAUAAUUAUUUUCCAUAUUGGAAAAUAUUUAGUGAGAAGAGUCACAUUGUUUUACAUUUUUGCAAACAUCUUUAAUGUCUGUUGUAAUAGACAGCUGAAUUCUCCUAUCUGCUUCUACAUUCUCUCUGUAGUUGUAAUAUCACAUGUCAUAUGGCUUCUGGAAAAUCCCAUUACACUUGUAAGAGAAUAAAUGUGAAAAAAUGCUAGCAGCAUCUUGUAUUAUAAAAAUAGUAUUGGCCACUUAAAUCACUGAAAGGGUCUCAGGGACUCACAGACUUCCCAGAUCACACAGUUUUUUAUAUCCACUUCACCUAUUUUGCCCAUCUCCCCAUUCCCCUCCCCUCUGGCAACUACCAGUU